UUCCGGUUGAUCCUGCCGGAGGCGACCGCUUUUGGAGUUCGAUUAAGCCAUGCGAGUAGAAAGAAAUUAGAUUCUUUGCGAACUGCUCAGUAACACGUGGAUAACCUGCCCUAUGCUCCGGAAUAACCUCGGGAAACUGAGAAUAAUACCGGAUAGAUCACAACGCCUGGAACGGUGUGUGGCUGAAAGAUUACGGCAUAGGAUGGGUCUGCGGCGUAUCAGGUUGUAGGGGGUGUAAAGGACCUCCUAGCCAUCGACGCGUACGGGUGUUGGGAGACAUAGCCCGGAGAUGGAUUCUGAGACACGAAUCCAGACCCUACGGGGUGCAGCAGGCGCGAAAACUUCACACUGCAGGAAACUGUGAUGAGGGAACUCCAAGUGUACGCACUUAGUGUGUGCUUUUUUCAACUAUUAAUCGGUUGAAGAAUAAGGGCUGGGAAAGACCGGUGCCAGCCGCCGCGGUAAUACCGGCAGCUCAAGUGGUCGUCGCUUUUAUUGGGCCUAAAACGUCCGUAGCCUGUUUGGUAAAUCUGUGGGUAAAUCAACCAGCUUAACUGGUUGAAUUCUGCAGAGACUGCCAGACUAGGGACCGGGAGAGGUGUGGGGUACUCUAGGGGUAGGGGUAAAAUCCUGUCAUCCUUAGAGGACCACCAGUUGCGAAGGCGCCACACUGGAACGGAUCCGACGGUCAGGGACGAAGCCUAGGGGCACGAACCGGAUUAGAUACCCGGGUAGUCCUAGGUGUAAACGCUGUGAACUUGGUGUCGGGGAUCCGUCAUGGGUCCCCGGUGCCGGAGUGAAGAUGUUAAGUUCACUGCCUGGGGAGUACGGUCGCGAGGCUGAAACUUAAAGGAAUUGGCGGGGGAGCACUGCAACGGGAGGAGCGUGCGGUUUAAUUGGAUUCAACGCCGGA
rnacentral:rRNA from 1 species